rnacentral:misc_RNA from 1 species
GAUGAAGAACGCAGCGAAAUGCGAUACGUAAUGUGAAUUGCAGAAUUCAGUGAAUCAUCGAAUCUUUGAACGCAUAUUGCGCUCUCUGGUAUUCCGGAGAGCAUGCUUGUUUGAGUUUCAGUAAACACCUCAACUUCCAUAUCUUUUUUGAAAUGGGAGUUGGACUUGAGUGAUCCCAACGCUUUUCCUCACCGAAAAGUGGCGGGUUACUUGAAAUGCAGGUGCAGCUGGACUUUUCUCUGAGCUAUAAGCAUAUCUAUUUAGUCUGCCUAAAAAACAGAUUAUUACCUUUGCUGCAGCUAACAUAAAGGAGAUUAGUUCUUGUGCUGACUGAUGCAGGAUUCACAAAGACAGGCUUCGGCCGACUUUGUAAACUCGAUCUCAAAUCAAGUAAGACUACCCGCUGAACUUAAGCAUAUCAAUAAGCGGAGGA